GAUGAAGAACGUAGCGAAAUGCGAUAAGUAGUGUGAAUUGCAGAAUUCAGUGAAUCAUCGAGUCUUUGAACGCACAUUGCGCCCCCUGGUAUUCCGGGGGGCAUGCCUGUCCGAGCGUCAUUGCUGCCCUCAAGCACGGCUUGUGUGUUGGGCUUCCGUCCCUGGCAACGGGGACGGGCCCAAAAGGCAGUGGCGGCACCAUGUCUGGUCCUCGAGCGUAUGGGGCUUUGUCACCCGCUCCCGUAGGUCCAGCUGGCAGCUAGCCUCGCAACCAAUCUUUUUAACCAGGUUGACCUCGGAUCAGGUAGGGAUACCCGCUGAACUUAAGCAUAUCAAUAAGCGGAGGA
rnacentral:misc_RNA from 1 species